UACCUGAAGACAAGUAAAGACAUUUAUUUUUCAUUCAGCAGUCUUUUUCUGUGAAAAUAAAAAGAGGGAAUCAGAAGAUUAACUCUCGAAAGGAUCAUGGACAACUAAUCCAGUUAGUUCCCUCAUUUUGCAGGCAAGGAACCUGAGGCUCAGAGAAGCAAAAAGCCUGGACAAGGGGAGAAAGAAGAGGAAGAGAAGAAAUUCUAUUUAUUUUUGUCACUCUUGUGCACUACUUAUUCCCUUCAGCUCCUAUUUUUGCUGUCUGACCUCUGGGCUCUGUGAUGAAGAGGAGACAUGCUUUCCAGGAAGUAAUUACGGCAAGUGAUAUAACCAGGCUGGCUGAAGCCAGGAUUUUAUUUUUUAACCUUGAUGAGUAAAGCAGCUGGAAAUACUACCUUCUAAAAGCAAAGGAUCCAAUUUCCCCAUGGUACUAACUCUUCCUUAGUGCUAGGAAACACCCUGAAGUCGUCUCUUGGGCUAUGUAAAUAUAAAGCAAUCUACCCAGGUCUAGUCUUGGGGAAGGCCUGAAAUAAUUAAGGUAAAGCAAACGUAGAUGCUUCAGGCUGUUAACAAGAUGUCUCAGUAGUUUUAGGCUUCGAUAGAUUUCUAUGCGAAAAUGUUUUUCCCUAAGUGUGGAUUUGGACUAUCCUAUGCUUAUGCAUUGCUGCAUAUCUUUGCAGAGUUGAGAGGACUAUUCUUUGGAUUAUUCUUUGUUUGUGAGGAUCAUAGAAGUGGGAUGGGAAGGAAUGCUGGGAGAGUGCACAGGCUUAUUCUCUUCAGCUAGUGCUGGAGGACAGGCUGUGAACAAGAAAUGGAGAGUGCUUGGCCCAGCAUGCCCUGGCGUGGAUGGUUGAGUUCUACCUGUGGUAUUAAAAUCCCAGCCUGAAAAUCCCAGACCUUAGGAAUUAAGACUGAUGACAGAUUGUGCUGUACUUUGUCUUUUGUAGGACAUAGGGCAUCUGGUGGUGGUAGAGUUUCCAGAGGACCUAGGUUUGUACCAUUCUGAGGAUGUUCAGACUGUGGACAUCUCAGAGUAGCCACUACUAAUAGCAGUGUAAGUUACCCUGUCUAUUACACUUCUUUUCUGGUAUUCCAAAGCCUUCUGAAAAGACUUGUUAACUGUCACACCCUGGCCUCAGUUGUGCUCUUGAGCUUGUUCUACUUUCUUGGAAGAAUAUCAAGCACUUCCUAAAGUUAAUGAUAGAAGCAAUGGUGACAGUCAUCUGUGCAAAACAGUGGUGCCCACUGUCCUCAUAAGGGUGAGAGAUAGUAAGGCUGCAGCAGGUCCAGAAAGUUGGGGCAGAAGUACAGGAGGGACUGUUUCUGAGAACACAAAAGCUAUGUCAGAAAUACAGAAGAAAAAAAAGAAAUAUGGGAGAGAAGGAGUUUGCCUUUUGCAGGAAAUAGGCCCUGAGGGCUUAUGCCAUCAUAAUUUGAACAAUAAAAGUAAGAAUGAUCAUAUUUUGUAGUCACUGGUUAGUGAGAUAGGAUGUACUGUAUCUGUUAUUCUAUAUGCCAUAGCCAGUCUCCAAGAUGGUUCCCAGAGAUCCUUGCUUUUUUGUAUUUAUGUCUUUAUAUAGUCUUCUUCUUCAAUGAAUCAGGGCUAGUCUAUGUGAACAACAGUGUAUGGCAGAGGUUACAGUGGUUGACUUCCAAGGGUAAGUUGUAAAAGACUUGCAACUUCUGCUCUGGUCCCUUGAAUUGCUUGCUUUGGGGUAGGCCAGCAGUCAUCUCAUGAAGCCUCUUAUUUAUUUAUUUUUGGCUAUGCCACGCAGCAUGCGUGAUCUGAGUUCCCCAACCAGGGAUGGAACCCUUGCGCAACUGCAUUGGAAGUAUGGAGUCUUAACCACUGGACAGCCAGAGAAGUCCUCAUGAAGACUCUUAAGCUGCUCUGUGGAAAGGCCUACAAGAGGAGGAACUGAGGCCUCUACCACCAUCCAGGACCAACUUGCCAGCCAAGUGAGUUAAGUCAUUGAACGUGGAUCUUCCAGCCCCAUUCAAGCCUUCAGGUGACUGCAGCCCCAGCUGACAUUUGACUGAGCCUCAUGAGAACACCCUAUCCAGAACUUCCUAGCCAAGUGGCUCCCAUAUUCCCAGUCCAUAGAAACUAUAAGAGAUAAUAAGUGUUUAUUAUUGUUUUAAACUAGUAAGUCUUGGGAUGACUUGUUAUGCAUCAAUAAAUAAAACACUAUACUAUAGAUUCUAUGGAAUAAACGUCUAUGUGAAACUCUGCCUAAAUAGAUCAGCCAAGUCUUUAGAAAAAAAGAAGACAUGGGUUGAGUCUUCAAAGAUGAGUAGGAGCUUGCAGGUGCAGGUAAAGUGGAGAAAGGGGAAUCAUUUCAGGCUAAAGGAACAGCUUGACUAUAGGGCCAGAAGUAAGAGGGCAUGGCUUGUUUGAAAAAACAGCAAUUAAUUCAGCAUGACUGAGGUGCAGUAUGUUUAAAGAAUGAGGUAGAGAAAGAUUACAGGAGUAGACAGGAACAAGCUCAAAAAGGACCUUAAAUGCCAUGUUCAUCUAUUUGUUUUUUAUCCUAAAGGCAAUGAGGAGCCACUAAAGAAUUUUUAAGCAGGCAACUGACAUGAUCAAUUGUACAUUUUAGAAUGAUGGCCAAAUGGAAGAUGGAUUGGAGGCAGAAAGACCAUUUAGAAAUAAUUGCAAGUCCAGGUGAGAAAUGAUUAGUGCCUGAAUUAAGGUCUUAGCAGUGUGAACGGGGGGCAGGGAAUGGAGGGCUAUUAGGAGGUAUAAUUUUCAGAAUAUGAGGGAUGAGGAAAAGGGAAUAUGUGGGAUCCAGGAGGAGGAACAAGUUUUUAAAAAAUAUUUAUUUAUUUAUUCGGUUGCGAUGGGUCUUACCUGCGGCACGCGGGCUCUUUGUUGUGGCGCACGGGCUUCUCUCUAGUUGUGGCAU